rnacentral:tRNA from 1 species
CAUCUUAUAGUUGAUUGAAAUACAACAUUAAAUUGCAAAUUUAAAGGAGGAAUUAAAAUCUUAAGAUGU